UUUGUUGAUCAAGUUAAUAUAACAACGGCAUUUGAACACUAUUUAUAUGUAGAAUAUAACGACCAAGAGAUCACCCUAGGGACCAAAUCGCUGGAAUUGGAUAGUUGGGAUAGCUCGUCUGGCCAAAUCAAAAUAUGAGUUUACUCUUGUCAAGUUCUGAGAGCUCAGUCAGUUAUGUUAGACGACCUUUACAUCCCAUCCAGAAGAACCAAGGGGCAACUGAUGUGGCCGAGCAGGCAAAAAGACACAGAAUCAAUCUAUUUAUCUUACAAUGUAAAAA